CAACACCAGGCUGGCCUCUUCAGCUCAUAUAAGGUAAAAGGCAGAGGGGCGUCUGCGGCCAAGGAGCAACAAGCAAGGAGCUAAGGGGAGGGGGGCCCCGUGCCAGCCGUUUAAAAAUGCCCCGUGGCAAUGAGGGGUGCCAGAGGCCCGGUCAAGUUAGUUGAGAAGCUAUGACACCCCCACAACAAUCCCCUAAAUGGGCUGGCCCCCGCAUCCAGGCUGCAAGGAGCCACACCUGGAACAGAUCCCCGGAGAGGCAAGGCGCUGGCUGGUGGGAGCCACUGCUACGACCCUGCGGAGAGGGCCCUCCUGAGGACCAGAGAGGAGGGCGGCAGCAGGGGUCCCCAAGAACAGAGCCCCUCCCGGAGCUUCCCAGGAAGACAGAGGUUCCCCCGUCUCAGCUUCACGAUAUUUCCUGAAGACAGUGGAGAGAAGGGAGGGCAAAUUGGCCCAUUCUCUGGGAGCAACCCCCCCAGCCUGCCACCAGCCAGCACCAGGGUGGAACCCCGCCAGCAGCUCCCGGCUCUGAGCCGCGCCCUGUCUCCCAGCCUGAGGUGCAGUGCUGCAUCUCUGGUCAGUUGGGAGUCUGAGAUGAAGCACUGUAGCUCGGGAAGGGAGAAGUUGGUCUGCCACCAUCACCCUGGAUGUGGUAAGUGGUGACGUUGCUUGGGGAUAUCGGGAAGGAUAGAAGCGUUUCCAGUUUCUGUGACACCGCCGGGCCGCUCAUGCCGAGGAAGUUUCUGGACUCAAGUCUGACCCAUGCCAUGAUCGGCUUCAUGAUUCUGACUGACUCCUGACUCCUCUGGGCACCCCAGUGGGUCCAUCGGUAACUGAGGUGUUGGGGGACUCUCCGGGGGCUGGUACGCGACACCCUGCCUGUGCUUUCUCUUUCCGAGCCCAUGGUGGACACUGUCCAUCAGUCACGGCAUCCUUUCUAGAAGAGUUCAGAGGUGCCUCUGGAAUCCUCCUCGACACUAAGUCGUGGAGAGCUGCUGCUAAUGAUUCAGAACUGAAAGCUAUUUGUCAUUUGUGGAUUGGACAAUUCCUAAAAACACUUGCGUCCCUAAAGACAAAAGUCCUGAACUUUGAGUCGGGCUCCUCAUUCUUCGGAUGCUUAAUCUUGGCUCCAGGUUAUUGCCUGAGCCAGUCCUGACAUUACACAAAUGACCGGCCUGUCUCAGAGGUUUCUGACAAGCAAGAAAUAGCAGAGAAUCACCAGGCUAAGUGCCAUCUUCUUUAACCUCCCUAUGAGCUUGGGAGGUGGCCAGUGUUAUUGACCCAUUUUACAGAUGAGGAGACUGAGGCUCAGUUAAAGCCAUUCUUCCAAAGCUAUUAUGGUUGUGUCAGCCAAGGUUAUAGCCUAACCUGCCUGCUUUCAGGUUUGUGUUCUUACCCAGUCCAGUGCAUAUGAUUUUAGAACUGGAGAGGGGGGAGAGCGGGAAGAGAACAUACUAAAGAAAUCUGGUCUUCUCCUUUCAUCUUGGGUCACUUUUCACAAAGACCGAUCUAGGGAGUUUCCACUAAUCCCAUGGACGGCCUUACUCCUAUCCCUAGUCCCAGACUGCAUCUGUCACACCUUAUCCGGGAGGUCCUUUCCUCUCCCAUUUGACAGCUGAGGAAAGCUGAGACUAGAGACUUGCUGGAGAUCCCCAGGGAGGAAUCUGCUGGACACUGCGAACUGAUCUGCCCAGGGUUUAGACUCAAACCCUCCCUCUGGCUGGAGACUCCAGAACAUACACAGUCCCGGCAGUCAUGGGAGGGAUACGGGGGGCUGGGAUGCCACCAGAUGGUUUCUGGUCAACAACACGGCCUCUGACUACAAGAAAGGUACUUUCCAGGGCGCUUGAAGUUCCAGUCAGUGCUCCUGCUGGAGCAAUCAGACGGUCUUGCACCCCGCGGCGUCCACACUGACUCCUGCAGAUGGGGCUGGGCGCAGAAGAAGACUGUCGCCAGUCCUUAGGGACUCGGCAGUGCCUUGGUGCUGAAGGCCCCUCUCUCACCUUGUCCUCACGGUCCAGUUUUCCCAGGAAUCCCUUAGAUGCUAAGAUGGGGAUUCCUGGAAAUACUGUUCUUGAGGUCAUGGUUUAGCAGCUGGAUUCACCUGCCCCAACCCGAGCUGUCCCCGUGGGACCUCCGCUCAAGCUCGGGAUGAGGCUCAAGCAGAGGCCAUACACUGGAGGUAAGAGGGCUUGCACACGGUGUUCUUGACCUUUAAGCUGCUUUUUCUUUCCAUUUUGUCCAUUUCGUAACAUUCCUAUGAGACUGGAUGAGGGAACCUCACCACGGCUGUACUCUUGGGAAAUCUGUGCAGGCACUCAGAAGAGGCGUGGUUGAACCAGGUCACCAUAAAGUAUGUGCUUCCUCCUGUCCCCACCCCUGUCCCUCACCCCACUUCCCAGCAUGCCUUGCGAUGGGGGACAGGAUAUGGUAUCUACAUUAUUGAUAAACUAAUAAACACACACGAGUUUAUUUUAGUAGUUUAUUAAAGCAGUUAGAUAAACUAAAACCCAUAAGUCUUAGCUCAAUUUGCAAAGCAACCACAGAAAAAUGAAAAUAACUUUGUUCAUCAAAGCCCCAAGACAAAAAAAGCUCAGAGCGCCCUCUUGUGGUGACACCUGCCUCUACUUCCUUCCCGGAGCCCCGCAGCCUCUCUGACACACACAGCACACACACACACCCCAUUCCCCUUGCCCCGGGCACUUUGCGCCCGUGAACGCGGUCUCCCACCCACCAUCUCAUUACCUAUGAUGCCUCCAUCACUUAGAGUUCAGUCCGGCUUCUAUAGCCUGGCUCUGUCCUCACAGCUGUCAGUGUGGUUGGUGAGGCUGAGAGGUGACGUGACCACCUCAGGGUCACCCAGGCAACCAAAGGCAGAGCCAGAAUUGAUUCCAAGUUCAGCGGCCUGUGGCAAUUCCUUAGCCAAAAGCAAAAACUACAAAACAAACAAACAAACAAACUGUCUGAAUAGACACAAGGAGUGCGGACAACUCGAUGCCACAGGCCGAGGUCCUGCCGUUGAACUAGACCUGCCGUUGAACUAGACCUUCUCGAAAACCCUUCCUAGUGCUUUCAUGGAGCUGGUAGGUAGCUCCGCCUUCAUGGUAGGCGGGUGCCACAGCCCCAGAAUGCUCACCUGCGGGUCUGGUCCCCAUACUCCGAAGAACAAGACGGCUCUCACAUGGGGCUCUAGCUGUCCUCCUAACAGACCAUACUGAGGACCUUAAUGAAGGAUGAGGUCCCUGCCUCCUCCUUCUAUAUACAGUGGAGCUGGCCUGACCACAGAGACAGCUGACUUGCUCUCGAUAAAUAAUAAUAACAAUAAUAAUGAUGAUGAUGAUGAUGAUGAUGGCGUCCAUUUGUUCAACGUUUACAAUUUCCCAGGCACUAUGUUAGACAUUUCCCAGGCACCAUCUCAUUCAGUCCUCACUACAGCCCAGCAAGGGAGCUGCUAUCACUCACUCCACUUCAAAGACCAGGAAGCCAAGGCGCAGAGAGGUUCAGAGACUUGCCAGGUCACCCACCUAAUAAUAAGCUGGAAUCACAUCAAGUCUGUGUUUAUGCUUUUAACCCUCAUGCCCUCCCUCCCAUGGGCCUGGCACCAGCACAGGCUGGAGGAGCCCCUGCGCACCUGCCCUCCUCUUCUGUGGAGCCGGAUGUCCCUGUGGCCGCUUGAGAGCUGCAGGGAGGAGGUGGGAGAGGCAGGCCGAGGACGAGCCCCUGUUGCUGUGCACUCCACUCCCCUCAUCCCUACCAUACACCCCCAGUUUGUUCACUUUUGAAACAGGACCCAGAAGGUGCUCACUGGCCUUGUCCUUGGGGCAGGUCCUUCUAGAACUCCCACAGCACCCCCUGAGGAACUUAUCGCCAAGCAGUCUUACCUGCAGGCAGUCUGCCUGGGGCUUCCUGUGGGGGAGAGGGUAAAACAAUCCCUCACUGAGACCCAAGUGGUCCAUCCUGUGCCCUGUGGUUCUAAUAAAGUGAUGGACCCUUGCCUUGUGUCCUGUUUCUUCCUGGGAACAUGGGGGAAGGGGGAGGAGGAGAAGGCAGGGGAGAACCCAACAGCCAGUUUUAGUUUGUUUGGCCCAUUGCCAAAGUUCCACAGACCGGGGGGCUUAAACCGGAGAAGUACAUUUUCCUACACUUCUGGAGGCCAGAAGUCUAAAAUCAAGGUGUCAGCAAGGUUGAGAACUCUCUCUCUUUCUCUGGCUUGUAAAUGGCUGUGUUCUCUCCGUGUUCUCACUCGGUUUUGUGUCUGUGGCCUAAACCUCCUCCUCUUGUGAGCCAGUCCUAUAGGAUCAGGGAUCGCCCAAUGACCUCAUGUAACCUUGGUUACCUCUAAGGACUCUCUCUCCAAACACAACCACAGUCUGAGUUACUGGGAGUUAGGAUUUCAACAUGAAUUGGGUGAGGGAGGACACUCUUCAGCCCAGAACGAACCCCCAGCUGAGAUAAUCCCCAAGUGCCUUCACUUUGCCAGCCAUUUCCAGGGGCCAGCAGAGAU